GCAGGUGGAGCAGGGACGGGCGGCGAGAGGCAGGUGAGCAGGGAGCGGGCGGAUGCGUGCUGUGGGAGGAAGAAGGAAGAGCAGGGGGAGACGAUGAGGGUAAAAGAAGCACUUCACUUUAUCCAAUAGAGAGAAAAAUGACAGGAAAUUGCAAAAGUUAAGGGAAUGAUAUUUUUCAGAACGGAAUCAUUCUUUCAGUGCUAUUUUACGUAACGACGAUCUU
rnacentral:lncRNA from 1 species